rnacentral:rRNA from 1 species
AGAGUUUGAUCUGGCUCAGGACGAACGCUGGCGGCGUGCUUAACACAUGCAAGUCGAGCGGUAAGGCUCCUUCGGGAGUACACGAGCGGCGAACGGGUGAGUAACACGUGAGCAAUCUGCCCUUCACAUCGGGAUAACCCCCGGAAACGGGAGCUAAUACCGGAUACGACCACUUCAGGCAUCUGAUGGUGGUGGAAAGUUCCGGCGGUGAAGGAUGAGCUCGCGGCCUAUCAGCUAGUUGGUGAGGUAAUGGCUCACCAAGGCUUCGACGGGUAGCCGGCCUGAGAGGGUGACCGGCCACACUGGGACUGAGACACGGCCCAGACUCCUACGGGAGGCAGCAGUGGGGAAUAUUGGACAAUGGGCGAAAGCCUGAUCCAGCAACGCCGCGUGAGGGAUGACGGCCUUCGGGUUGUAAACCUCUUUCAGCGCAGACGAAGCGAAAGUGACGGUAUGCGCAGAAGAAGCACCGGCCAACUACGUGCCAGCAGCCGCGGUA